CAUCUAACAAUACUAAAAGGGGAAUAUGAAGCCCUCUUAGCAUGUCCAUGUCAGAUGAAAAAAUCAACCACUGAUAUUGCAGCAAUCAUCCAUGUCAUCUUUGAUUAAUCAGCCUAUAAUUAUUCACUAAACUUCCACGUCGGCUAAUAUUUCAACAAACAAAUGACAAUCUGACGAGGCCCAUCUCAGCCCAUCACCUUCAAAUGAAAUUAAUCUACUUUACGUCAUUCUCAGCUUCAUUUUCAUCAGCUAACCCUAGCAGCCGUAGAAUCAACCCCACAUAUUUUAAUGUAAAUCAAGUCAGAGAAUUCAAUUCCGUCUUUAUUCUUAUGUGUAACGUCGUCCUCUAACUCUCGGCCAUCAAAACUCCUCAAAACCUCACCUUCCAUAUGACACCCAAACGCCUCACCUCCAACCAAACUCAUCAUAUAUAUACUCCCAUGAAUCUCAAGCCUCCCCUAUUUACCUAUUAUCUUACUAAUAUCCCAGCAAAUACACCGCUUCAAUGGAAACAAAUCCAUCGAAAGGAACACCAAAAUCCCGGCGAUGACUAGCAACGGUUCCAUUGAUAGAGAAAAUGGAUUUGGGGCUCCAAUGCUCGAUCGAAAUUGACGCCAAAUUCACUGGCAGGUUAAUACUAGCGAUUAAAAUACGACUCGAGCUUAGUAGAUCAACCUACGGAAAAGACAUACCGAAAACAGGUAUUUUUCUGCCUGAUUUCAGAUCUAGACGCUCAUAAAUGGCUCCAGUUUAAGCUUCAAGACACUGCUACAGAUUUCCACCCGACCAAGUUGUUAAGUCCAAGUGUUCUCAUACUUACUUAAUGGAUUAUGGUGCAGUUGUUGCUGAGCACUAUUAUUGGGUUUUUCAUCAAACUUCUAAUAUGUCUGAACGAUUCAUCAGUUUCCACUCUGUGGCCUAUAAUCAGGUGAAUCUAAGUUUGAGCUGGAAGCUUAAAGGAGAUGAGUAAAAGCACCUCCAAUAGAUUAGGAGAUACAAGGAUCCUGAUUAUACUAACUUCUUACUAUCGCUGAAGCAGCAAGAAGAAGAGAAACAAGAAGAACUUUCAAGGAUUAAGGAUUUUUGGAGGUGGUGAAGAGGAUAUGGUUCUACGCGGUGACCAGACCAACGGCCAGAAACCAGAUAUAGAGUUCCUGAAGAGGAAGAUGAUCUUUGCAAACUUGCGAUGCAUUGGGUGUUUUGGCUUCUGCUUAUGUAAGUAAAAUAUGUCUAUGUUCCACAACAAUGAGUAAAUCUUGAGGCUGGUCAAGAAAGAGGUACAAUGAUUAUAUGAUCGUCUGGAUAAGUAGUUUGCUUGAUUAUCAAAUUGUAUCCUACAUUGAAGUCUGGCCCUCUGUUUCUCCAGAUUAGAGUUCUAUAACACGAUGAUCAAGUUGCUCAAGCAGUCACGCUUAGAUGAAAAGCCUUAUUGUGAGGAGGGACGCUUUCGCACCAAAUCAUCCUGAACAAAACCAGAAACUGAGACGUAGCAAAUGGUGUUGGUAGCAACGGCGAUGUUGUAAAUUCAUUAAGCAAGAGCCAUAUAUUUAUUUUUUAAAAAUGUUUACGGCCAGAAGUAAAUUCUCGGUUCUAGACUGCUUAAUUUAAAAAAUGAUGCAGUGUUUACAAUAUAUUACAUUUGUUUAUUAUAUCUUUUAGAACUGCU